CAGGGAGACAACAAAAUGUUAAAUAUUAAUUUUGUCACCUUAGGUCGAUCGGUAUCUCACAUUCUUAAUUUAUUUAAGGAUUUUAUUUCCUAAGUUUUUUCUAGGUCACACCCAUUUUUUUCCCUGGGCCAUUAGCUCAGGUGGUUAGAGCGCACCCCUGAUAAGGGUGAGGUCCCUGGUUCAAGUCCAGGAUGGCCCAUAUCUCUAUGUUGGGGGUAUAGCUCAGUUGGUAGAGCGCCUGCUUUGCAAGCAGGAUGUCAGCGGUUCGAGUCCGCUUACCUCCACUGAUUACCACCUCUUUCAUAAUUUAUAGAAGGGAAAUUUUUUAAGUCGUGAUCAGAUCCUGAACGAAUCUAGCUUCCUAAUAACUUUAUUAAGAUGCUGGACUCAUUGAAUUAAUUUCAUUGUUUUCAGAGAACCUUGACAACUGCAUAGAUUUUUUUAAAGACAAUAAGCAUCUUUAAUGAUGCAGAUUUAUUAUUUGUGCGAAUGCAUUAAUAACAAUUCUAUUAAGCUGAUGCUUCAA
rnacentral:tRNA from 1 species